GAACGCUGGCGGCGUGCUUAACACAUGCAAGUCGAACGGAAAGCCCCUUUCGGGGGGACUCGAGUGGCGAACGGGUGAGUAACACGUGGGUGAUCUGCCCUGCACUUUGGGAUAAGCCUGGGAAACUGGGUCUAAUACCGGAUAGGACUACGAAUCGCAUGGUUUGUGGUGGAAAGCUUUUGCGGUGUGGGAUGGGCCCGCGGCCUAUCAGCUUGUUGGUGGGGUGAUGGCCUACCAAGGCGACGACGGGUAGCCGGCCUGAGAGGGUGUCCGGCCACACUGGGACUGAGAUACGGCCCAGACUCCUACGGGAGGCAGCAGUGGGGAAUAUUGCACAAUGGGCGCAAGCCUGAUGCAGCGACGCCGCGUGAGGGAUGACGGCCUUCGGGUUGUAAACCUCUUUCAGCUACGACGAAGCGCAAGUGACGGUAGUAGCAGAAGAAGCACCGGCCAACUACGUGCCAGCAGCCGCGGUAAUACGUAGGGUGCGAGCGUUGUCCGGAAUUACUGGGCGUAAAGAGCUCGUAGGU
rnacentral:rRNA from 2 species